rnacentral:tRNA from 1 species
GGUUAUGGCUCAGCGGUAGAGUGCUCGUCUCACACAUGCAAGGCUCUGAGUUCGAUCUUCAGCACCA